UUUUUUUUUUUUUUUUUUUUACAGAUCUGAGGUUUCUGGAAACUAAAGUCUGCAUAAUAACUCAUAUGGAGAACGUCAACAUUUUUUAUCAUCCACAAUCAGAAUCACACAAGGCAAGCACAGAUCAGCGGUAAUUAUCUAGAUGUUUGAGACAAAGCUCUCUCCUUUCUUUUAAGACAACCCAACAUCCACAAAAGCCAAGCGUGGAUCAUUAAUUACACUCAGAUUAUCUCAGAAUAUCCCUAAUUUCCUGCCUGACAGGCUCUGUUCCAGCUGAAUUACUCAUCAGAUGCUGGGUUUGAGCUUUAGCCUUCCAAGAUGGCUUUUUUUUUUUCCUUUUCACCAACUUACAUAUUGCAUUUUUUGUUGUUGCUGUUGCUGUUGCUGUUCCCUUCAAGGUGUCAGAUAAAAUACUGCACCCUCUAGAAUCUAUUCAGAAGAAAUGUCUAAGAAUUAGUCGUAAAUCUGACCGUGCAUGAGCCGGUCCCAGGUUCUGCAAGAAAGAGAAAACAGCCCAGCUCCCCUUAGCCGAUCACGCCAAAGAGAUGCCAGCUCACGGUCCAAGGGUCUCAUGGUCAGUUUCCAAGAGUCCAGCCCUGGGGGAACGUUCCCUGAUGAAUCGCGUAUCUCCCGGGAAGCCCCCCGAGGUUGCGGUGAUGCUUCAAGGGAGAUCCUGCUUGGACAAUGAUGGGCUCGUGAGGUCUCCCUGCUCGCUUGCCUCCAUCUGAAGGAGCAACCAAGAUCAAGGCGCUCUUCCUGUCUCCCGGGAGUCCUUCCUACCUCUCUCCGGAGCCAUUCAUUCUUUGGGUCCAGAGCCCCUCUUCAGGGCAGCAUUUGGAUUUUGCGAAGGUGACGGUCACGCGGUGGGGGACCUGUUCCAGGCUCUCUGUACCCCAGGAGGACCCACACGACAGGACGUGCCACCCCCUACCCCACUUCUGAACAUCUCAGAGCAGAACGUGAUACGACAGACACCCUUCCUUUCAUGAUGCCAGCUUCUUCUUUUGAUUUUAAUAAUAUUUUUCAUGGACGUAGAGUUGAUUUACAAGGCUGGGUUAGUUUCAGCAGAGUGAUUUAGUUACACACACACACUCACACACAUAUAUUCUUUUUCUGAUUUUUUUUCCCCAUGGUAGGUUAUUACAGGAUAUUGAAUAGAGUUCCCUGUGCUGGACAGUAGGUCCUUUUCCCAUCGUGGCUCAGUGGGUUGUGCACCGACUAGGAUCCAUGAGGACGCGGGUUCAAUCCCUGGCCUCGCUCCGUGGGUUAAGGAUCUGGCAUUGCUGUGAGCUGUGGUGUAGGUUGCAGACGUGGCUCGGAUCUGGUGUUGCUGUGGUUGUGGUGUAGAGUGACACCUGCAGCUCCGAUUCGACCCCUGGCCUGGAAACUUGCAUGUGCUGCGGGUGCAGCCCCAAAAAGACAAAAAAAAAAAAAGAUGUACGGAGAACGAGAAAAAGAUGCAGGGCUAUCUGUCCAUAGCAUCUCCCCAGGAGGGUCCUUCUGGAAAGAAUGGAAGCCCCGUGAGGUGUCUUUUGCCACCUCUGCACAACAGAGGUGUUUUGCAAAGGGACAGGGGAUGGACCCAGAGGGAGAUGGGGGGAGACUGCCCCCGUGGGACUUGUUCCUGGCACCAUGACUGACAACCAGACCCCCAGGCGUGGGUAGAAAUGGAUGGCAUGGGUUGAACCACCCCAGACAGCACACUGAGCAGAUGCCGGGAGGCCCCUGCACUCCCCAGGGCUGCAUCCCCUCUGCUUUCCAUGUGUCUUCACAUCCUGUUUUGCAAAAGCACACACGAGCCAGUGCGAUUUCCGUCCGGGGGAGAUAGUGAUUUUUGUAUCGGCCGCAAGCCAGCGGCAGCAUCUCGCCCCCGCUGCUGCAAGAGUUGGCUGCAAGGAGCCUUCAGUGGUCCCAGUCUGCUGAGGACCGGUCAGAAGGACAUCAUCUUUUUCGCUUGGCUGUGGCUCCCAACGUGUGUCAUUUCCUCAUUCCCAUCGCUGUGAGGCCAGGUCAGGUGGGAGGUUUAACUCUUUUUAAGGCACUGUCUUGACCCGGGCGACCUGACUUGUGAAGGGUUCUUUUUCUUUCUUUCCUUUUCUUUUUUUUUUCCAAAAUAGUUGUGAAGACCCCCUGCUCUCCCCCAAACCUGCCACACCCGCAUGUCCGGGGUAGGUCUGGGUGCGUGGAUUUUGGCAGUAUUUGCUGAUCGUCUCCUGGGGUUCUUAUUUCUCAAGCUGGGUGAAAACUUGACCCUGAAAGAUGUGUCUGGAUUGAAGAUCGCUUCCAAAGCUGAGGCUUAGGAGUCUAGAAACACUUCAAUUUGGGAUGGGGAGGAAAAAAAGCCUACCUAGGCAUUAGGGCUAAUGAAUGGCUUAGGAUUGGCAAAGUAGAUACAAGCAUAAGCCAAAAUAUAUCUUCUUCUUUUUAUUUAUUGGCAUGGGUGCAUCAGCCUCAGAAAAAUCUGUCUGCGGGAAGCAGCCAGAAUGUGGGCUCUGUGAGUCCUUCAUGUACUGUCUUCUUCUCUCAAAAUAUCUUUUGUUUUUUCCUCUUACAGAUAUGAUGGCCUUUCUUUUCGUUGUUAAAGAAAAGUUUCAUUGAAGUGGACUGGAUGGACACGGCUGUGAUCUUUUCUGCUGUACAGCAGAGUGACUCAGGCGUCCACGUCUACACAGCCAUUCUCCUUCAGAUUCAUUCCCCAUGUAGAUGAUCACAGCAUACUGGGUAGAGGUCGCUGUGCUGGACAGCAGGUGCCCGUUGGCCCGUCAUUCCACAGACCUCCGUGUGCACGUGCCAAUCCCACAGCCCCCAGUCCAUCCAUGCCCCCGCUGGUCGGUCCCCUUUGCUGACCAUAAGUUUGUUUUCAAAGUCUGUGAGUCUGUUUCUGUCCUGUAUUUAGGUUCCUUUGUGUCAUAUUUUAGAUUCCACUGCUAAGUGAUAGCUUACGGUAUUUGUUUUUCUCUUUUGGACUCAUUUCACUUAGUAUGAUAAGUUCUCGGUCCUUCCGUGUUGCUGUAAAUGGCAUGAUUCCAUAUGUUUUCAUGGCUGCGUAAUAUUCCACUGUGUAUAUACUGCAUGUUCGCUAUCCGUUCAUCUGCUGAUGGACAUUUAGGUUGUUUCCUUGUCUUGGCUGUUGUGAAUAGUGCUGCAGUGAACAUUGGGGUGCGUGGAUCGUUUCAAAUUUUGGUUUUGUCCAGAUAUAUGCCCAGGAGUGGGAUUCUGGAUCAUAGAGUAGAUCUGUGUUUAGUUUUUUAAGGACCCUCCAUCCUGUUUUCCAUAGGACACCACUUUGAAUUCCCACCUACCGUGGACAAGGCUGCUUUCUCUCCACUCCCUCUCCAGCAUGUGUUAUGGGUCGUCUUUUUGAUGAUGGUCAUUGUGGCAAAUGUUCCAAAUAGCUGUUGCAUCAUUGUCUUUUUCCUUUCCUUCUUUUUUUUUUCCCCCCUCUGGCCACACCCACAGCAGGUAGAAGUUCCCAGGCCAGGGUUUGAAUCCAAGCCACAGCAGUGACAAUGCUGGAUCCUUAAUGCUGAGCCACCAGGGAACACCUGCAUCCUUGUCUUGCACACCCAGCAGCCCCAGUGAUGGCUUCUCAUUCCUCUCAAACGUCCAAAGAUGUUCCUAUGUUGGUCACUCGCCAGGGCCUCUGUACCACAUCUGUCCCCAUCAUCACCCAGCAAUAUGUAUAUUGAUAUUCCAUGUGAGUUAAUGUCUCUUUUUGGAAUGUCUCAUGUCUUUAGUUCACAAACAAACAAAAAUCUAUAAAUGUUUCAAGGAUGCACACUCAAAGGAAAACACACGUGGCGAUUAGACAAGGCACCAAGUGUGAAUAGCACAGAACAUUUUUAGCCAGAAACCAAACCCGCUUGGAUGGGACUAGCGGUCGUAUGAAACCAGCAACAUCAAAGGAGAAUUUGAGACAUUCCCCCAGACUCCCUGGAGGGUCAUCAAGCAUCUUCUGCUCCCAAGGCCUCAGGGGUUCCUGGCUAAACACAUCCCAGGCUGCGGUUAUUCAGUCCUCAAAUUCAAAUUGGGAACAUCACGGGGAAGACGGGGUAAGGACCUCCGCUUCCGGUCAAGAUGGAGCGACAGGAACAGAAUUUGCCCUCCAGCCUCAAUCACAACCACAAAUGGUCUGAAUGUUGGCAGAUUCGCAGGUGCAAACUGGCAUAUAGAGGCGGGAUAAACCGCAGAGUCCCGCUAUGGAGCAUGGGCAGCUCUAUUCAGCAUCCUGUGAUAAACCAUUGUGGAAAAGCAUCCGAAAAAGAAUGUGUCUGUGUGGAUAACCGAGUCACGUCGUGGUCCAGCAGAAAGGAACACAGCAUUGCAAAUCCACUCUCCUUUGAUGAACUACCUUGUAAAUCAAUACAUAGUCCAGAUAUAGGCGAGAGCAGUUUUCAAGAGUGGCCAUGAGGCAGUUCUGAACAGUGACCCCGAGGGCCCCCAAAAGGAACCAGAUGCAAUCCCGGCAACCUGCGAUCCUUCAAGAGGGUGAAAAAAGACAAGAGGCACCAUGCAUUCCCUUGCAUGGUUCACCUUGGCCACACGGCACGGCCCCUGCUGCAAAGGAGGCUGGGAAGGGUCCCCCAUCAGGGCAAGCAUGUGCCCAGCAGCCCUGGGAGAGGUUCGAGGACAAAGGUGAGUAUGGGUUGGUGUCGGGUUAUUUGUAUCUGCUCACGUCUUCAGGGAGAUGAAUAACCCGGAGCCCAGACCACGGCACUGGGACUCACGGAAAACGGUCCCAUUGGAAAGGGAAGUUAGGAGUUCUGCUGUGCCUCAGUGGUGACAAAUCCCACUGGUAUCCAUGAGGAGGUGGGUUCCGUCCCUGGCCUCACUCAGGGGGUGAAGGUGUAAGUCACAGACGUGGCUCAGAUCUGGCGUUGCUGUGGCUGUGGUGCAGGCUGGCAGGUGCAGCUCCGAUUCAACCUCUAGCCUGGGAGCCUCCGUAUGCCGUGAGUGCCGUCCUACAAAUGCAA
rnacentral:lncRNA from 1 species